rnacentral:rRNA from 1 species
GCCUUCCGAGGCAUGUGCACGCCCUACUCAAUCCACUCUACACCUGUGCACUUACUGUGGGUUUUCGGUUCGUGGAGAGGGUCCCUUUAGUUAGGGCUCAUGAAGCGUCCGUAAGCCUGCGUUUACUACAAACCCUUUGAAGUAUAAGAAUGUGUAUCGCGCUGUAAACGCACCUAUGUACAACUUUCAGCAACGGAUCUCUUGGCUCUCGCAUCGAUGAAGAACGCAGCGAAAUGCGAUAAGUAAUGUGAAUUGCAGAAUUCAGUGAAUCAUCGAAUCUUUGAACGCACCUUGCGCUCCUUGGUAUUCCGAGGAGCAUGCCUGUUUGAGUGUCAUGAAAUCAUCAACCUACAAGGCUUAUGCAGUUUUGUAGGCUUGGAAUUGGAGGGUUGUCGGCGGCAUGAAUGAAUGAAGUCGGCUCCUCUUAAAUGCAUUAGCCUUGGUUCUUUGCGGAUCGGGUUUCGGUGUGAUAAUUGUCUACGCCGUUGACCGUUGAAGCGUACUGGCCGGCUUCUAAUCGUCUUGGAAAGAGACAACGUUUAUUGACAUCUGACCUCAAAUCAGGUAGGACUACCCGCUGAACUUAAGCAUAUCAAUAA